rnacentral:rRNA from 1 species
UCAGAAUGAACGUUGGCGGCGUGGAUUAGGCAUGCAAGUCGCACGAGAACCCGCAAGGGGGGACAGUGGCAAACGGCGUAGUAAGGCGUAGGUGACGUACCCCGAGGACCGGGAUAGCCACGGGAAACUGUGGGUAAUACCGGAUAAUUCCCCUCUUCUUGAAAAGGAGGGGGCAAAGGUGAGAGUCCGUCUUGGGAGCGGCUUACGUAGUAUUAGCUAGUUGGUGAGGUGACGGCUCACCAAGGCGAUGAUGCUUAGGGGGUGUUAGCGCAUGACCCCCACGACUGGGACUGAGAUACUGCCCAGACACCUACGGGUGGCUGCAGUCGAGAAUCUUCGGCAAUGGGCGCAAGCCUGACCGAGCGACGCCGCGUGCGGGAUGAAGGCCCUUGGGUUGUAAACCGCUGUCAGAGGGGAUGAAAUGUAUGUGGGCACUCCCAUGUAUUUGACAUAGCCUCAGAGGAAGCACGGGCUAAGUUCGUG